rnacentral:rRNA from 1 species
GACGAACGCUGGCGGCGUGCUUAACACAUGCAAGUCGAACGGAAAGGCCCUGCUUUUGUGGGGUGCUCGAGUGGCGAACGGGUGAGUAACACGUGAGUAACCUGCCCUUGACUUUGGGAUAACUUCAGGAAACUGGGGCUAAUACCGGAUAGGAGCUCCUGCUGCAUGGUGGGGGUUGGAAAGUUUCGGCGGUUGGGGAUGGACUCGCGGCUUAUCAGCUUGUUGGUGGGGUAGUGGCUUACCAAGGCUUUGACGGGUAGCCGGCCUGAGAGGGUGACCGGCCACAAUGGGACUGAGAUACGGCCCAGACUCCUACGGGAGGCAGCAGUGGGGAAUAUUGCACAAUAGGCGGAAGCCUGAUGCAGCAACGCCGCGUGCGGGAUGACGGCCUUCGGGUUGUAAACCGCUUUCGCCUGUGACGAAGCGUGAGUGACGGUAAUGGGUAAAGAAGCACCGGCUAACUACGUG